CAACAACAGAGUCGGUGAAAUUGUAAUUCCGGUGAAGAUGCCGGAUACCUGCGACAGGACGGAAAGACCCCAUGGAGCUUUACUGUAGCUUGACAUUGGGGCUUGGUACUACAUGUACAGGAUAUGUGGGAGGCUUUGAAACCAGGACGCCAGUUUUGGCGGAGCCAUCCUUGCGAUACCACCCUUGUAGUACUGGGACUCUAACCAUAGGCC
rnacentral:rRNA from 1 species